CAGAUGCAAAGGGAAGAAGAGACCACAGAAUGGGGUGUGUGAGGAGUUAAAUAUGCAAGGGAUGGAUGACUACAGGUUUUGCAUGCCAAGCUAAACAGUUGGACUUUAUUUUGGAAGCAGCAGGAGUCACUGAAAGACACCUGAGCUCAGAAGCCACCAUAUUGGGUUAGUUUUCAGUAACUACUGCUCUGGCUGAGAUGAGGAAAACGACUUGCCUUGCCUAGAGGAGGAGGAAUGUGGAAGAAGGAGAUCCUAAGAGGGUGUUUCAGUGCACAGGUGGAUAUCCAGUUUUCCCAACAGUAUUCUUCGAAGAGACUGUCCUUUCCCCCAUUGCGUAUUCUUGGCACCCUUGUCAGGAUGCUUCUAUGCAAUCCUCCAGGCUUCGGCAGCACCAGGGCUCCCCAGAACAAACCAAAGCCCUUUGGUGGAGCAUUUGGAUUUCAUCUCCCAUCUGGACUGUACCCCUUCCACCGGCGAGGGCAAAGUUCACAUGUGAAGUCUACAGAGUAAGAUGCCAUGAUGGGUAAUGUGGGGAUUCAGGAACAAGCGAGUGAGUAAGCAGGGCUGGAAACUGAGAUUUGAGCUGCGUUUGUGGUAGGCUCUGCUUACGAGAUGGGAGGGCAACCCAUGCUCUUGCUGAGAGCGAAGGAAAGAGGAACUCACCACUGGCUGGAGGAAUGUCCACUCGUCAUGGGAAGGCAGAAAUGGAUUAUCAAGUUUCAGACUUAGAAAACAAAGAAAAACUCUAAUUGCGGACAUUCCUUGCAGUUUAAGAUCAGGGUAAAUAUACCAAUACAAAAUUACUGGGGUCAAAGGCUUUUGUAUGUGUGGUUUUUUCCCGCAGUAAUGGGUCACUUGAUCAGAAAUCCCUGUGUGAACUCACUUUUUUUUGGUAAUGAUGACAUGAGAAUUUCCACACUUGCCAAGUCAGUAUUACGUGGAACUGAAACCAGACUCAGUGCAUAUGAAGACUUUGCUCACACUUGUUUUUACUACAGUCAGCAAUGCUUCAUAAGGCCAAAUUUAAUGAUGUAAUUUUGGCAGAGCUAAUAUAAAUAGCUCAAAAUUAUUAAUUUACUUUUGGUUGCAAUUAUUAACCAAUAUGUAUGUUAUGUGAUAGCUAUCAGUUUUCUAUUUACCUUUAUUAGGUGAGGCCCCAAAGAAAAAUUUUUAGCUAAAUAUAUUAGGUUCUCCAAAGGGUCAGGAAAGGAGCCUGAAAACAGAGAAGAGACUGAAUUGAAUAGCUUAGAUUUCUAGUACUGGGCAUUCUGAAAGCGUUUUGGCAAUUUAUCCCCUAAAAAAGAAUUUAGAUCAGAUGGGAGAUAAUAAAUUAGAGAAUUUGAUUCAAGAGGCUUAACUCUGGUUAAUCAAAUGAUGACUAAUUUCCAAUCUGGAAUUUGAUCAAUUAGUAAACUGGUACCCCAAAAUUGGUUAAGAGUAAAAUUGUUAAGAGGGCUGUAGUCAUUUUUAAAAGAGAUGUUAUUUCUUAUUCCCAAUCAAAUCUUAUAUUGCUGAAUUCUAUUAUGCUCCAAUAUUAAAUUUUUAAAAGUUGGCUUUUUAAAAAUUGGUUUUUAAAAUUGGUUUUUGAAAAUUUAAAAAGUUGGUUUUUAAAAAUUUUUUUAAUUUUUAAAAGUUGGCUCACGCCUGUAAUCCCAGCACUCUGGGAAGCCAAGGCAGCUGGAUCAUGAGGUCAGGCAUUUGAGACCAGCCUGGCCAACAUAGUGAAACCCCAUCUCUACUAAAAAAAUACCAAAAAAUUAGCCGGGUGUGGUGGCAGGCGCCCGUAAUCCCAGCUACUCAGGAGGCAGAGGCAGGAGAAUCGCUUGAACCUGGGAGGUGUAGGUUGCCGUGAGCCGAAAUCACGCCAUUCAUUGUUCUCCAGCCCGGGUGACAGUGCGAG
rnacentral:lncRNA from 10 species